UGUUAUUUUCCAGUGUGAAAAAAUAUUUCAAGAUGGCGAGUGAACGUUGUGUUUCUGACGAUCUGCUCAACGAUUUGGAAUUUCCGGUUGAUUUGUUGGACCUUUUUGCGACAAACGGCAUUGACGAAUUCGAUUUGUUAACAAUCACACCCGAGCUGUUAGCAGAGUUGUUGCUUAGAACUGAUGUGCCCUGGGUUGCAGGCAAAGUUUACGAGCGGAUUUGUGCAUGGAAAUUCCGAAAUAAAAUAUCUGUUUUAAGCCUGCUCAGAGCUCGUCACAUCGAGCUUGAAGGCGAAUGUAGUUCCAGUGAAGCAGGUACCCAUCAGCAGAACAGACCUCCAGCAGAACAUUCGACAGAAUCCGAAAGCUGGGUAGCAGAACCCGACUUGUUGGAAGAACUACUACUACCUAUAAAACUUGAUACUGAUUACAUAGUUGAAGUAACAAACGUGGUACAGUUUAAGGGUACUACUUAUAGAAAUAGCUAUUUCAUGUCGCAAUUCAUGCAUCAUCUGAUGUAUUUGUGCGAAAUUUUAGAAAUUCUUCGCUUUUCUGAUAAGUUGUACUUCAUUGCUCAAUUAUGGGUGUAAAGUCCGUACUGGACUUUAACUUCUUGACUGUGAUAUUUCACGGUCGUACGAAGCAAUACGUUUUCUUUGCUGGUUAAAGCUGGAAUGAAUUUAUUGUCUUCUCGAAUUUAUUACAAACUCCUAGCUGGAGACACUUGAAGCACCGAUAUGAAAAAUGCUAUGUACACGAUCACCAAUCAGCGAUCGUUGUCCAUGCGGGAAAAGGAAAGAUAUAAAUCCAUCGCUGUACACUCGGUAACAGCAUGGUUCAAUAAAUUAGUAAUGCGACACUUCUGUUUGUCGCCAUAAACGCUGACAGAUAUUUUACAGGCAUUGAACUGAAGGUUCAAUGCCGGGUAGAAUUAUCCUUCUCAGCAUGUUCCCACUAGUGUGGUCUGCUGGAAGUGCAUAAUGGAAAAGCAUGGGAAAUGACAUGUGGGAUGCACAUGUCACACCAUUCCCCUACGGGCCAAAAUGUUAACGGUAAAGAUUCGGUUUAGCUUCAAAUGCCUCUCACAAUUUUGUUUGCAUUCACUGAAUGUAUUUAUCUGCUUUUUUUUUGUUAAUUUGUUGGUAUGUAAAAUGUCUAUUGAUUUCACUACUUUCACCCCUUCCUAAUAGCGGGGGAUGAUCAUUGUAUGUAUGUAUUUUGAUUAUUGUUACUUUUUUUUCACUUUUUUUUUACUAACCUUGUUUUAUGUACUUCUGCUCUUUUUCCAUUUUGAUUUAUAAUUAUAGCAUUUGAUUCUUUUAGUUGUUCAAUCUGAUAGGGACCACUAUAAAUCGGUUGUAAUUUAUGCCUAUUUUCAAUUUGUAAAUAUACUGUAUCACCUAUUUGUAAUUCUGUUGGUGUAAUUGUUCUGUUCAUACUAUUUGUUCUUUUGUCCUUUCUGUUUAAUAUUGUUUGCAUGACAUUAGCGUGAGUGAUUUGUAAUCUGAAUUUUAGUUCUUUUUGGUAAGAAUCUAGAUUAUAUAAUGGGUCUACUUGCUGGUUUUCACAAAAAUCAAAAGCGUUAAUUUUUUUUCCAAAAAUAAUUUCAAAGGGAGUGAAGUUAUGGUCUGUGCUUGGGGUUG